CCUACGGGAGGCAGCAGUGAGGAAUAUUGGUCAAUGGGCGCGAGCCUGAACCAGCCAAGUCGCGUGAGGGAUGACGGUCCUACGGAUUGUAAACCUCUUUUGCCGGGGAGCAAGCGUGCGUUCGUGAACGCGCGUCGAGAGUACCCGGAGAAAAAGCAUCGGCUAACUCCGUGCCAGCAGCCGCGGUAAUACGGAGGAUGCGAGCGUUAUCCGGAUUUAUUGGGUUUAAAGGGUGCGUAGGCGGAUUUUUAAGUCAGCGGUAAAAUGUCCGGGCUCAACCCGGGCCGGCCGUUGAAACUGGGGAUCUUGAGUGGGCGAGAAGUAUGCGGAAUGCGUGGUGUAGCGGUGAAAUGCAUAGAUAUCACGCAGAACUCCGAUUGCGAAGGCAGCAUACCGGCGCCCGACUGACGCUGAGGCACGAAAGCGUGGGGAUCGAACAGGAUUAGAUACCCUUGUAGUC
rnacentral:rRNA from 1 species